rnacentral:lncRNA from 1 species
GACAACUCGCGGGGAUUGUUUUCCACACCGUGGAAGCUUUGUUCUUUUCGUUUUUUGCAAUAAAUCUUGUUGCUGCUCGCUUUUUGGGUCCACAUUGCUUUUAUGAGCUGUACCACUCACCGUGAAGAUCUGCAGCUUCACUUCAGAGCCUAGCGAGACCACAAGCUCACUGAGAGGAACAAACAACUCCAGACGCGCUGUCUUAAGAGCUAUAACACUCACCGCGAAGGUGUGCAGUUUCACUCCUGAGCUAGUGAGACUACGAAGCCACUGGAACGAAGAAACUCCAACCACGUUUGAACAUCAGAAGGGGCAGACUCCAGACGCUUCAUCUUAAGAGCUGUAACACUCACUGUGAAGGUCUGCAGCUUCACUCCUGAGCCAGCGAGACCACGAACCGAUCUGAACAUCAGAAGGGACAGACUCCAGAUGCCCCACCUUAAGAGCUGUAAUACUCACUGCAAGGGUCUGCAGCUUCAUUCUUGAAGUCAGACCAAGAACCCAGCAAUUCCCAACACACAGGGACCAGCUUCUUUCCUAACUCACUUAGGCUCUUCGUGCUGCUCUGGCAACUAACACCCUUGGCUGCAGGGGCUUGGACACUACCCUUAGUCACUGACAAUUGUGUGAAGGCUGCUGUCGUUAACUUCACUUGAUCACCUUAGGCUCCUGUGAAGUGGUGAGCAAUUCAAACAAAUUCCUGUCGUCAAAUCAUGAGUCCACCUGUCCCGAGUUGGAAGUCUGAACUCAUGUUCCUGGAUUCCUCCCAUGCAUCUUGGUGCUGGUGUGGGGCCUGAACUCAGCCAAUCCGCAACACCUCCAGGAGUCUUCCUCUUAGAUGCUGAGGCCACGGAGAAGGAAGCAGCACAAAGAAUGAACCCUGGAGAGGGUGCCAGAGGCAGGCGGGUUCCAGCCAUGUGGCGGCACAGCCUUACUGGGAUAGUCUAGCUGUGUCACUCAGAAUCCUGAUUUUGUUUGGAAGGACAGCGUGCCUGGUUCCAGGUGUUCAGCUGCAUUGGCGCCAGAGCACCAAUGGGGCAAGAGAAUCCUCUGGAGAAGUUUUCUGUGAUCUCAUCACAGGAGUAGCCCAGAGGAACAGCCCAGGGCCUGGGGCCUAGGAUGGGUGGACCAGGCCAUGCAGCUGGUUGGGGGCUUGACCCCCACUCAAAAAGGAUAUACAUCUUUCCACACCAAUAGACCUUGUUUUCCGAUGUAGCAUUAUUUUUCAUAGUUGGCGAAUAUACAGUUAUGGAUUCAUAACAGCAAGAUGGAGAAAUUGCACUGCAGAGAAAUCUUUAAAAGCAAUUACCUAAUACUGCAGAUUGCUGAACUGUACCCACACCCAAGACUGAGCAUUGGAUCAAUCCAGAAUAUACAUCAGGUGUUCUGCAAUGUCUGCCUAAAACCAUGACUCUGCCUCCUCCAGCUGUUGCUACAUCUCACUAUGGGUUUCCUGUGACAUUUUGAGCAAGUAUGCCUCUGUGACUGGGGUUCUUACACUCCAGAAUGGAUGAGAAGCACCGUAAGUGGCUUUUAAAAUGAAUAUUCCCUGGCCCUUCAGUCGCUCUAUAGGUCAAGAAUCUGAAUUCUCAACCUGUCUAGAAGGUUCUGGUUUUAAUGGUCUGUGGGCUGCACAUUGAGAAACCUGUUCAGCGAGUGCAACAAAGGUUCCACAUGUGAGAAAGGAAGCAUCAGGUCUCUUGAGCCUGUUCUUUAAUCUGUAGGCUGCACCUUCUCUUUAAAUUCUGCUAAUAACACCAUGCGAGAAAACACCCGAGCUUGAAAAGCCCAUGUUCCAACAUAACUGUCCUUCACCACUCUGGAAAAUUAAUGGUUUGUUUCGAUUAUCCCUUUGUUAAACUCCAAAGUCAAAGAGCUCUGAAAGGCAUACGGUUAUUUUAAGUUUCAGGUGAUUUCUGUUGCCAAAUAUUUUAAAAAUUUAAAAUUGCUACGUGACCUCUUAGUAGUACUAUUAGAUUUCCUGACAAUAAAAAUAAGUCUUUUGGUUUCACCAUUUAUAGUUAGUACAGCUAAUAUUAAGUAUAAUUUUAAAAGCCUUUUAUUUUCUCAGAAAGAAAAAAUAAUCAAAAUCUGCUCAGUGUGGUAUUGAAUAAUUAAAAACAAAAGAACAGUAUCUUCACAUUAG